UGAGGCAGGAGAAUUGCUUGAACCCAGGAGGUGGAGGUUGCAGUGAGCUGAGAUCAUGCCACUGCACUCCAGCCUGGGUGACAGAGCGAGACUCCAUCUC
rnacentral:miRNA from 1 species